rnacentral:rRNA from 1 species
UGGGGAAUUUUGCACAAUGGGCGAAAGCCUGAUGCAGCGACGCCGCGUGAGGGAUGACGGCUUUCGGGUUGUAAACCUCUUUUAUCCACCACGAAGGCCAGGUAUUCGCCUGGUUGACGGUAGUGGUUGAAUAAGCGCCGGCUAACUACGUGCCAGCAGCCGCGGUAAGACGUAGGGCGCGAGCGUUGUCCGGAUUUAUUGGGCGUAAAGGGCUCGUAGGCGGCCCGCUGCGUCCGCCGUGAAAGGCUUCGGCUUAACCGGGGUUUUGCGGUGGAUACGGGCGGGCUUGAGGCAAGUAGGGGAAACUGGAAUUCUACGUGUAGCGGUGAAAUGCGCAGAUAUGUGGAGGAACACCGGUGGCGAAGGCGGGUUUCUGGGCUUGUUCUGACGCUGAGGAGCGAAAGCGUGGGGAGCGAACAGG